rnacentral:pre_miRNA from 1 species
UAUAAUUUUUGACUCUCCGUCUUAUUUAAAUUUUUUUUACGAUUGAUAUUUUUGUUUUUAUUAGAUGAUAAAUCAUAAAUAGUAAUUUACGUGUGACUAAUUUUUUUCUAAUUUCUUAAAAUUUUUUCAAAUAAGACGGAUGAUCAAACGUUGGAUACGGAAACCGA